rnacentral:tRNA from 1 species
GUGUUUGUAGUCCAAUGGUUAGGAUUAUUGCCUUCCAAGCAAUAGACCAGGGUUUCGACCCUUGGCAAACGCA